GUUGUAUGUCAUGUUUGAAUAAGAAAUAUACAAACUAUUUUGUUUGUAUUCUUUGAUAGUGUUGAUAUGAUUAAAUUGAAUGUGAAUAUUAUAUUUUUAAAUUUUUUGUAAUUCAAUAUUGUAAAAUUGAAAAAAAAAAAAAAACUCUCCACACAGUGUGGAGAGAGUUAAACCAAGUGCGGAGUAAAAAUUAAAAAAGGUGCGAAGAGAAAAAAAUCUCCGUACAGUGUGAAGAGAGUUGAACCAUGUGCAGAAAGUUGGCAAACUCUUCACACAGUGCGGAGUAAAAAAAAAAAAAAAAAAAAAAAAAAAAAAAAAAACUCCCCACGUAGUAUGGAGAGCCAAAAAAAAAAAAAAAAAACCCUUCGCAUUGUGUGAAAAGAGUUAAUCUCUCCGCACUAUGCGGAAGUUGGUCCGCAUUAUGGCAAAACUCUCCGCACAGUGCGGAGAGAGUUGAACCAUGUGUGGAAAGUUGGCAAACUCUUCGCACAGUGCGGAGAGAUGACAAACUAGCUCUCCGCACAGUAUAGAGAGAAAAUUCUCCGUACAGUGCGGAAAGUUGUUUUCAAAUUCCUUAAUUACAAGUCAAAUUUCAAGAUUGUAAAUUUUUCAUAUAUACAACGAAACAGAGUCG
rnacentral:lncRNA from 1 species